CUAGUGUUGGCUCCUCUCAAAUGGAUCAGCUUGCCAGUGUUUGGUGGGGUCACAGGUGUGAUAACUAUCUACGCGUGUGUUCCCUGCCAUGUAACCUUCAGUGAUGGGGGUUCGCUGGAGCUCAUAGAUGUCUCUCCUCAGUGAGGACAGCUUUUUGAACGUUUGAUCUCAAAUCAGGUAGGACUACCCGCUGAACUUAA
rnacentral:misc_RNA from 1 species